CCAACAUGAAGCUAAAGACACACCUUAAAGGAUGAGGAGGAGCAGAAAUCCCACCAGCAAGGCAAGAAAGAAGCUGUGCAUGAACAGUGUUUGUGAGAGCAGAUAUGAUCCCCACUUUACUGACAAGUAAACGAAGGCUCGACAAAGUGAAAUCUGAGAGAAUGCUAAUAAUUGUGAAGCAUUUCCUUUGGCGAAAGUUGGUUCCACAUUUUGCCUCUGCUUUAGACCCAGAAGGAAAAGAAGUUACAGGAGCCGAUCUGUCUUACACUCUUCCAUGAUCAUAAUCAAGAGGUCCCUGGAUCUAGAGGUGAGCAAGAGGUGAUGUGGGCUCUGGAGUGGGUACUGCAUUCUGAAUUCCCUGGCACAAUUAAAAGGCAAUAGAGCUAAGAGUAGAAUCACCAAUGAUCUACUAUACCCAGACAAUAUGGGGGAACUUAAUGUCUAUCUAAAAUUCAGAAGAACCUUUGCUGAAAAUGGAGAUGAUUAGGAGAGGAUGUCAGAACUCUGUCACAGCUAUAAGCCUGCCUUUUGAGCCUUUUGGUGCAGGGAUUUGAAUCUUUUCCAAGCGUAAGCCCUCAUUAGUAGCACCCUCUACUCUAAGG
rnacentral:lncRNA from 13 species